CUCCUUCUCUCUCCUCCUCUCCCAGUGUGAUCCCCGUUUCUAAUCACAGGAGAGCGAAGCGGUGGGGAGCUCCCGCCAGAAAGCCCCUAACUGGAAGUGACUGGUUUGACCCCCCACGGCUCCGUCUCCUGAUUGUCAAGGCUAGCCGUCCUCAGAAAGCCCCUAUUAAUGUGUGCAGAACACGGGCGCGCUCCCUCCGCCGCGGCUCAGAGCAUCGUUACUCUGACUGUCAGUGUGCUCACUAAAUUGUGUCAGUCACACAGUUGGUUUUCAGCAGGCGUCACUCUGAAGUCGUCUCUAAUGGCGUGCCAUGCACCAAACGCCGCGUCUUACCUGUGGGUGAGUGUGGGUGGGUGUGUGUGAGUGUGUGUUGAGUGUGGGAGGUGUUAUCUCUUCUUUAGUUUCUCUCUCUCUUCCUCUCUUUGAUUAACAGGCCAUUGCUCAGAGGCCCAAUUCUUAUUUUUAACCUGCCUCCCAAAAGCCAACUCUGAACUGAGUGGGAGGGGAGUGCGGAGGGAGUGGGGAAAGAGCGAAGGAGAGAGGAGGAAAGAAGCAAUGAAAGGAUAGUGUUGACACUUGCUCUCUCCGUUGGUUUUCUCUGUCUGAAGUUAUCUUCAUCAGUUUCUGUAUGUUUCUGUAGGUCUCUCGUUCUGUAGGUCUCUCUGUAUGUCUCCGUCUGUAUGUAGGCCUCCCCGCCUUGCAGGUCUCUCUUACACACCUUGAGAUUCCUCCUGCAGAGUUGACGGUGCUGAGUGUAGCCCCCCGAAGCCGCCUCAAACCUAUUACUGAAAACCGGGAGAGAGGAAAGAGGAGAGGUGAGCAGACGAAAAGCACGAGACAAAACGCUAAUCAAAGCUGGGAGAGGGAGAGAAAGAGAAGAACCACAAAGAAAGCAGUGACAUCAUCCUCGCGCUGGAAAAAAAGGAGAAAGACAGCGAGAAGAAAAGAGAGCGACAAGGCCUCCUAGUUGGCGUACCUAUGCAUCUGUCAUUGAUUUCUUCCUCUGUAAAUAUUUGAAGGGCCAAUAAAGCCCUUUCUUUAUUUACUCCACUUUAUUUAUUCAGGCUCAUGCUAGCGCCUCGCAGUCUCCCUCUGGAAGGUGCGGCGUCAUCACCGCCCAAUUACUCAUGCAUUAUUAAAGCUUGUCUCCUUUCCUUUCUACUUCCUAUGUGAAGGUAGCAUUAUUAAAAGCUACUGUAUUCUUGCCCACUUCCUCCUUCCUUCCUUCCUUCCUUUCUUCCUAUCCUCCGCGCAUUUAAAAUCCUCCCUUUUCAUUUCUUCCGUGAUUUCCUUUUUUUGUCUUCUUUCUCCUCUUUUCUCUGUUAAAAGCUGACUUCCUACCUCCUCGGUUCCCCACAUAAUGUAAUACCCCGAAACUUCCUCUCUCUCUCGUUGUCUGUCCCUCCUCCGCUUCUCUUUUUCCUAACUCACUUCCAUGCUAUUCGCCCCGGGCUGCCUCCUGCAUCCUAACACAGGGAAUUGAAAAUCCUCCUAAGCUCUGAUCUGUGUGUGUAUGUGUGUUUUUUGAGAGAGAGAUUGUGUGUGUGUGUUGGGAGAGAGAUUGUGUGUGUGUGUGUUGGGAGAGUGAUUGUCUGUGUGUGUCUGACUUGUCUUUCAUUAGAGGGAGCUUUGAUGUGAAGGAACAAUGAAGGUGGCAUUGUCACUAAGGAUCUUUUUUUAAUAUAACUGCCUGGUGUCUCUUUCUGCACUGCCAGGUCACAGUGACAUCUUAUUUCAGAGAUAUAGGGUUGGAUAUGGGAAGUCAACUGCCUGGUGUCUCUGUCUGCACUGCCAGGUCACAGUGACAUCUUAUUUCAGAGAUAUAGGGUUGGAUAUGGGAAGUCAACUGCCUGGUGUCUCUGUCUGCACUGCCAGUACACAGUGACAUAUUUUUUCAGAGAUAUAGGGUUGGAUAUGGGAAGUCAACUGCCUGGUGUCUCUGUCUGCACUGCCAGUUCACAGUGACAUAUUUUUUCAGAGAUAUAGGGUUGGAUAUGGGAAGUCAACUGCCUGGUGUCUCCGUCUGCACUGCCAGUUCACAGUGACAUAUUUUUCCAGAGAUAUAGGGUUGGAUAUGGGAAGUCCAGUACACACAUAGAGUGUACCGCGACCUCAGAGAGGUGAGACGGUGAAACGGUUGGACAGACAAAGGAGAAGGGGUGGAGAGAGAACACACAGUGACAUGCUUGUACGAAAACAAAGCACAGCACAGACCGUACAAUAACAAUCCAACACCUCUUUACCAAUCUAAAUCCAACCCCUCCUCUCCAACAAUGCAGAGUUACAGAGACAAGAGAGGAAGAGACCAGGGGAGGGAGAGACCAGGGGAGGGAGAGACCAGGGGAGGGAGAGGGGGCGAGAUAGAGAGGGGAAGAGAAACAGGCAUAAACAAGGUAGUGAAAAUAGAAACACACCGUUGUACAGGGGACCAGAGGCAUCCAUUCUCUCCACCACUUCAAAAACCCGGGCAGACGACAUGAGGAAACAGCACCCGUCCCAAAAAGCACCCCGUUGCCCGUGCAGUGCACUCCUUCUGACCAGAAUGCCUAGCAGCACUGUGGGGAAUAGGGGGCCAUUUUGGACACUGUCACAGAGGGAGAUGUUUCCAAGGAAGCUCAUGGGUCCCAUGGGGACAAUGGUCCAGUUGUGCAGAAGCCCAGUAACUGCUCUGAAAAUGUAUUUAUUUUUUGUCCAGCUAAAUGAGUUGUAAGUAGAUUACUGAAGAUGUUGUUAUAUAUAGUCUUACUAUGAGGUUAUUCUUGAUUCGUAUUGACCCUAACCCUUAUGCCACGAUUGAAGUUACUGCACUUUCACGUGGUUGGGCAAAGCAGGGCGCUCUUCCAACCGCCCGAAAUAUUACAGAAGUGAUAUUUAUCUCCCCUGAAAUGUAUGUUUUCAUAUUUCAUAUUUGUGGGGUCGCAUUCUCCCUCAGCGUGUGUACGGGAGAUCGGCUAAAUGCCUCAGGAGAGACGUACCAGACCUCAGGCAGACUGGGCCUUGAGCACUUGUGGCCUCAACUACAUAAUCCAAACAUUAUGUUCCACAACCAUAGCUGAAUUCCCAGGAUAACACACACACACACACACUGAUGGAUGGGCCCUCCUCCCCAACACACUGCAUUAUAACUUCAUCCCUGACACGUUGUAUAUGAGCAGGAGCCCUCAGCCUGUAUCAUAAGUAGACCUAUUUAUAGCAUCCAUGCCGCGGCGGAGGCGCUCACAGGGGAGAACAUGAGUGAGUGUUGUUAAUAUUCCAAAUGCUAAUACCGACAACUCUCUAAUCGCCCACUUCCACAUAACAGUAGGCUGCGUCUUACAGAAAUCGCAGAACACUUUGAGUGAACUAUCCCUUCAAAGGAAUGUUUGAAACUUUAUCUUCAAGGGACAGUUCUCUUAAAAUACAAUCCUUUAUAGCCAUAUUUUGACGGAAGUGUCUUUGAAGACCCACACCAGUGGAAAUCAUUUUUAUCGACCAGAAAGUCGAUGUCCAGACCUUACCCAUAAUGUUGUACAGCGGUUCACGUCAAUAGGUCAUAUGACAUAACUAAGAUUGAGGUGAUAAAUCCAAUCUUCUCAGGUGUCUGUGAAAUCUGUCAUUUCCUAGAAAAUGAUGUGCAUACUCUUUGCAGCUGGCCUUUCAGUUCAGAGCUCAGGUUUAUUUGUCUUUGGGGCUCCAACUGACAGUCAGCUAUGUCAGUUACGCUACACUUGCAUUGCAAUAGCCCUGUUGUAAUUCUUUUUCCUUUUGUUACGAUCUGCUUAUCGUAAUAAUUUCGGUAAUUUGUGACAUUUCGCAAAUGUUUUAGCUAUUGUGUGUACAGCAAAAAUAUAUGAAUAUCUGAGGAAAUCGUGAAUGAGGAAAUUGUGUGAUAUGAUUGCAUUUUACAUUGCCGGAGGUUCAAUGGUUUUAUACCACUAAUGUAACAAGCACAUUUACAGUCAUGUAAGAAAGUACCCCCAGGAUGUUACAUAUUUGGACGUGUGGAUGUGUAAUCUUUACAUCAACACUACUGACAGAUAAAGGUAUACCUAAUUUAACAAAUGACACUGAAAGAUUGUACUUGGCAGUCACUGCAGAAAUACGCUAGGUUCAAAUAGCUGUUUUAGCCCCCUUUGGCUGAAACGCCUUCAUGCAGUUUCUUGUAACCGUCUAUCAGUGUUGUACAUCGACUGGGAGGAACUUUUGCCCCCUUUUCAGUACAGUGCUGCUUCAACGGUAAUGUUCAAGGGCUUUCUUGCAUGCGCAUCUUGUUUCAAGUCCUCCCACAGCAUUCCAAUAGGACUGAAAUCUGGACAUUGUCUCAGCCAUUCCAUUACCCUCCAUCUCCUCUGUUCGAGCCAUCCUGUUGUAGCUUUGCUUGUGUGUUUCGGGUCAUUGGUCUUGUGGAAAGAUCCAAGAUGACCUUUGGUCUAGAGAUUUAGAUUAGAUUGGAUUCAACUUUAUUGUCAUUGAACAAGUAAAGGUACGGUACAACAAGAUGCAGUUAGCAUCUAACCAGAAGUGCUAAUAGACGAGGGCGGAAAAUGUACAAGUAUUAAGUGGAAUGGUACUGAGGGCUACCUCGCAAUCCCCAAGUCCAAGUAUAAAGGCUUUGGUGACAGGGCUUUCUCCUAGGCUCUGGAACUCGCUCCCCAAAACCAUCUGUGACUCUGAGACUAUCCCCAUCUUCCAGCAAUGCCUCAAAACUCAUCUGUUCAAAAUCACCUACCCUUAGCCAUGCCCAGGCCCAUUCUCUCAAUUGUCUUUGUUUUACCAUGGUAUUUUUUUUGUUUGUUUCUGUUCCAUGUUCAUUUUGUAAAGCGUCUUUGGGUCCCUGAAAAGCGCUAUAUAAAUAUAAUGCAUUAUUAGUGAUGGGUCACAGAGUUCAGCAGUCUAUCUAAAUCACCUGGGUAAAUAUUUAUAUGGAGGAUUUUUGGCUGUGAUUCAGAUUAUGUUGGUGUAGCUAGCAAGUUGUGCUAGCUAGCUACAGCCUGGGCUCCAUUAUAGGAAAUUGUCAUGAUACGAUAUACGAGGAUGCAGUUGUUGGUGGUCUUAAAUGGAAAGCAGACCGAAAAUAUAAUGAUUAAAGCGCCCAUAUUAUGACUGCUUUUCAACUUAUAGGUCUAUAAGUUCCAUAAAACAUGUUUCUGAAGUUGUUUGCUGGAAAUAGCUUGUAGGAAAAGAUUCUUACCUCCCUCUAUUACCCUCUGUUUCAGUCCCUUUCAAAGUUUUCUGCUGCUCAUUGCAUAUUCAUUAGCUGCUGCUCCUUUGCCCACGCCCACUCUAACUGUUACCAUGGUAGCGGGGAGAGCGUAGUAGUAAAAGAGAGAAAUGCCAUCAACUUCAUCUUUUAGAAUGUAUGUAUUAUUAUGCCAACAGAUACAUCAAGCAAAAAAGUAUCACUAAUAAAUACACUCCAGGAGAAGAAACUACAGAAUGGUUGGCUUCAAGUGUAAAUAGUGCUGUGAUGUAGCAGUCUAAACCAUACACUUGUUUUGCCCUAGACAACGCUAACAUAUUCCCGUUUGUAAAUAUAAUAUUAUAAAAUAUUUACAAAUGCAUUAUUUGCACAAAUCCCCGAAAUUAUAUCCGGCGGGGGAUGAGUAUUGCUUGACCGACUGAGUCUCCGGGUUUGUAUGUGGACACCAUGCUAAUAGCUAGAAGCUAGCGGUUAGCGUUACCUUGUACUAUGUGGCAAAACACUAGCUAGCUAAAAUGUUAGUUUGCCAAAACACUUCUUGGUUAGUUUGUGUAGAAUUGCAAAAUAAAGACAGCUAAUUGUAUAGAACUACUUACAUGUCCCUUGUCUGCAGGUAUUCCACGCAAAGUUUGAAUUGCGCACUCUUUUAGCAAAAGUUUCUUGGCUAAUCCUGCCUUGUACUGACCGAAGUUGGAGAAACAGCCGUCUCAAACUGGUUAGCACAAACCGAAAAAAUUUUGAUAACUGUAGCAGGGACAUUGCCUUCAAAAAUGAAUUCAAGCCAUGCCACUCUUCUGUCCUCUGCGGCUGGGACGCGAUGGAGUGUUUUGUGCUCCUCUUUACAGCCAACCACAGUUUAAGUGGUGCUUCGACAUGGUGGUUCUGAAUCAGUAACAACAUGGAGGAUAUCAGAGAAGAAGUUACUGCUGUACCUGGUGGGUGGAGGGUGGGAAUAUUUAAAUUUUUCGGACUGUGACGUCACAGUCCGAGGAGUUUUCUAACAGCUCACCCAGAGACUGAAGACAGAGGACAUUCAGAAACCUAUAUCUCACUCAAAACAGCAUGGAUGUUUUUUUUCCAAAGUUUGUAUGCGUGUGGAAGCACCAGAGACGCAAAAGAACACCCCAAAACCCAGAAAACGUGAUUUUUUUCAUAAUAUGGGCACUUUAAGCAUUUUCAGUGAACUGUCCCUUUAAGUGAAUAAACAGGGUCCUUUUAUAGAAAGGACCGUUGUGAUGUUCUGUGAAUCGCAACACCUGGAGGCUGUCGUCAUCGGCUGUGCAGCUCUUCAAGGGCCUCGGGAGAGCGCUGCGUUACAGAAGAUGGCUGCCUUUGAUCUGGCUUAGAGAUGGAGAGAAACAAUAGCGUCAGCUGGAGAGGCCCCACACUGGAACAACACAUACACACACUCAAAGACACAUAGGAACGAUGCACUCUACAGCAAAUAGUCAAACUGAACACAUGGCAGGCUCCUUUGAAGCAGCGGGAAUGUGAUAGGGAGGAGGCAGCAGCAGCAGUUACAUGACAGUCAGACGGUAAGUUAGCACUGUGUCAACAGUAGCAGUUAUGUGACAGUCAGGUUGUAAGUUCACUGUGUCAACAGUAGCAGUUAUGUGACAGUCAGGCUGUAAGUUCAGUGUGACAACAGUAGCAGUUAUGUGACAGUCAGGUUGUAAGUUCAGUGUGUCAACAGUAGCAGUUAUAUGACAGUCAGGUUGUAAGUUCAGUGUGACAACAGUAGCAGUUAUGUGACAGUCAGGUUGUAAGUUCAGUGUGUCAACAGUAGCAGUUAUAUGACAGUCAGGUUGUAAGUUCAGUGUGACAACAGUAGCAGUUAUGUGACAGUCAGGCUGUAAGUUCAGUGUGUCAACAGUAGCAGUUAUGUGACAGUCAGGCUGUAAGUUCAGUGUGUCAACAGUAGCAGUUAUGUGACAGUCAGGUUGUAAGUUCAGUGUGUCAACAGUAGCAGUUAUAUGACAGUCAGGUUGUAAGUUCAGUGUGACAACAGUAGCAGUUAGGUGACAGUCAGGCUGUAAGGUCAGUGUGUCAACAGUAGCAGUUAUGUGACAGUCAGGCUGUAAGUUCAGUGUGUCAACAGUAGCAGUUAUGUGACAGUCAGGCUGUAAGUUCAGUGUGUCAACAGUAGCAGUUAUGUGACAGUCAGGCUGUAAGUUCAGUGUGUCAACAGUAGCAGUUAUGUGACAGCCUGUAAGGUCAGUGUGUCAACAGUAGCAGUUAUGUGACAGUCAGGCUGUAAGGUCAGUUUGUCAACAGUAGCAGUUAACAGAAAAACACACAAAAAGGGUUUUGGGCCGUUGUGUCUGACAAUGGAACGAGUACACUUACAUUCAUGCUGCACUGUCUGCAGGGUAUGCUAUGUGAGCAACUGAUGGGAAAUAUUUCAUAAAUCUCUUCAAGUCUUCAUCUUACCCUUUUAGGUAAUUGUAAAUGUAAUCAACUAGAAUUUGUUAACUGGUCCUGCAUAUUCUGUUGCUAGUCUUUAAUUCUAACAGGACACCUGGAUGUUAAAACGGAAAGGCAUGUUUUGACACCACGCUGAAAAACACAUGAGAUGACCUCCCAUCUGCAUGCAUUAUACAGUACAGGGGGGAGCCAUGCUGUCUCCAAUGGCUCCAAUGUUCAAAAGGCAGUGUCAUGGGAUAAGCCGCAAAACAGACUGGAAGUUGUUUAUUAUAGAAGGACUCUUGCCUUCUCUGGUACUACAGUGCCUCCUUUUGCCUUGAAGCUUUCCAAACACCAUUGAGCUAAAACACAAACAAGGAAAACAUGUCAGUUUUCCUUGCAACUGUUUUUCUUAAUCUUUAAGUGACUGAGACGGUUAUUUAAUUCCUUUCCGCUCAGGAUUUGAAUAUUCAUGUGGAACUUAACAAAACAAACAUUAAAAAAAAUAAUGUUUAAUUCAAACUGCAACAUGAACAUAGCAUGCUGCCAUUACAGCACGAAUCCAAGGAGAGGUAAGCUGGAUGCUAAUUGGUGAUCUUUUGGCUGUCAUGAGCUACUGUUAAGCAUGUGUUGGUAUUUUCUUGUUGUUCCUGAUUAGUUGUGAAAAGGACAGCUGUUUCCAGCGGCUCUGGGUUUUAACUGUGUGAAAGAACUCUCUGUAAUGAAUUACAGAUGGCGGGAAGCUGUGGCAUUGGUCCGUGUGCAGAACGUGUGCGUCUCUAAACAAUCCAUGCGUUGCUUUUGGUGUCAGCUGAAUUCCAGGUGAAUGCCAAGCAUGAGAAUAGAGAAUGAAUGAGCGGUGUCAUUGGAAAAACAAAUACCAUUUUGGAGCUUAGCGCUCCGUUGCCCUCUCGCUAGCAGAAUAAUGGAAACUAUAAGGCAGACGGAAUUAGAUUUUUGUCAUGUUAUCCUUCACAUUCGCUACAGAUUGCUCAAGCAUUUUGUGGAUUUGGAAUUAGACGGCGUGAAGUUUUCCUCUUGAUGAGCAGUUUUCGUCUUUGCUUCAAGCGGCUUCUUGUGAAAUGUUAUAGUCCCUUACGAACACAGGCAUGUCACCUUAUAGAUGAGUACGUAGAGCAGUAUGACACUACAGGUUUGAAUAAAGCCCUUAGUUCUGACAGUGAAGCCCCAUCACUAUAUACCUUCAUAAUGAGCUGUGACUGCAUGUCAAGGUGAAAUCACUUUAGAUCACGUUAGUCAUUCUUAAUUAGUUCAUCCCGCUAGGUCCAACAAAACUUAAAUCUAACUAGGUUUCUCUCUUUUAAGACUGAAUCCUGUGGGUUUACCUGAACCAUGGACUGUAGUGGAGCCUUCCUGAAAAAGCAAACACUUCCCUUUAACAGUGGAGUACAGAUGUUAUCUGGCUGAGUUUGAGUAGGUCAGUCGGCCUGUGUGACGUUAGAGGAAACAUCUUUCUUGACUGGAGAGUAGUAAGAACACACAGCUAAUCCUCAGCAGGCCACGGGUGUCCCUUAGCUUGGCCUUCAGACUGCCGGAGGUCUCUACGACGGAGUUGAUCGGGUACAAACACGCACUUUCUCGAAAAGAAAAACACAGUGCAACGCAAUCUUUGGUGCUCUUUCUUUCUCCCCCUCUAUUCUCCAACACCCGUUUACACACCUGCCUUAACAGACAAACGCUUCGUUCCUUCUUCUCCCACGCUGCCGAAACAUUUUAUUCUGAUGUGAUCCCUGGUGAGCCGCCAUAGAUGGACAGGAGGCAAUCGACGUGCGGGAAAUACUUGAGCCAGACAGGCCCUCUCAAAACCCACUCGCCCGUACCAUUUAAAGUAAUCUGGGUUUUGGAGUUAACACCUCGAUUCUCGACAUAGCUUCAAUUCUUCCACUCCUGAAUAAACUCCCAUAAAUUGGGUCACCCGCUUUCGCCG
ensembl:lncRNA